AGUGGCGGACGGGUGAGUAACGCGUGGGUAACCUGCCCUAUACAGGGGGAUAACAGUUAGAAAUGACUGCUAAUACCGCAUAAGCGCACAGAACCGCAUGGUUCGGUGUGAAAAACUGAGGUGGUAUAGGAUGGACCCGCGUCUGAUUAGCUUGUUGGUGGGGUAACGGCUCACCAAGGCGACGAUCAGUAGCCGGCCUGAGAGGGCGACCGGCCACAUUGGGACUGAGACACGGCCCAAACUCCUACGGGAGGCAGCAG
rnacentral:rRNA from 1 species